UCAUUCUGGUUUUUACAUACUAUGUUUUGUAUGGUAUUGUGAAUACUGACAAUACCAUACAAAACAUAGUAUAUAAAAACCAGAAUG